rnacentral:rRNA from 1 species
AAGCCAUGCAUGUGUAAGUAUAAAUAAUUCUACUUUGAAACUGCGAAUGGCUCAUUAUAUCAGUUAUAGUUUAUUAGAAAUAAUUUACUACUUGGAUAACCGUAGUAAUUCUAGGGCUAAUACAUGAGUAAAUCCUCGACUUUGAAGAGGUGUGUUUAUUAGUAUGAAAACCAUAUGCUUUUGCAUAAUAGUGAGUAAUAAUAACCUUUCAUAUCGUAUGUUGUAAUAACGAUAGUUCUUUCAAGUUUCUGCCCUAUCAGCUUUCGAUGGUAGUGCAUUGGACUACCAUGGCAGUAACGGGUAACGAAGAAUUUGGGUUCGAUUUCGGAGAGGGAGCCUGAGAGAUGGCUACCACAUCCAAGGAAGGCAGCAGGCGCGUAAAUUACCCAAUCCUGACAUAGGGAGGUAGUGACAAUAAAUCACAAUGCGGGACUUUUAGUUUUGCAAUUGGAUUGAGAACAAUGUAAAAGAGUUAUCGAUAAACAAUUGGAGGGCAAGUCUGGUGCCAGCAGCCGCGGUAAUUCCAGCUCCAAUAGCGUAUAUUAACGUUGUUGCAGUUAAAAAGCU